rnacentral:lncRNA from 1 species
UUAGGGUUUAGAGUUAAAGGGUGGGGUUUAGGGUUUAGAGUUUAGGGUUUAGGGUUUAGAGUUUAGGGUUUAGGGUUUAGGGUUUAGGGUUUAGAGUUUAGGGUUUAGGGUUGAGAAAUGAGGUUUUGGGGAUAAGAUUUCAAAUUUUGAAAAAUAAAAAAAUUAAAAUUUUCAAAAGAUAAAAUGCUAUUUUGGUCAUUUUAGUUUUUGAGUGCUAUUUUUGUGAUUUAAACUUAGAAAGAUGUUAUUUUGGAGAUUUGCCCUUGUAUAAAACCUAAUUUGUUCUGAUACUUAAUAAUUACCCUAUACUGUAUGGAAGUCAUCAAGUUUAAUUGUAUAAAACCUAAUUUGCUCUGAUACUUAAUAAUUACCCUAUAUUGUAUAUUAACACGAUGAUUAAAAAAGCUAUCUCCUUUUUGUUGUAUGUAAGCGUUCAUGAUUUUCGUUAACCGAAACGAGGAUAAAGAUUUGAUUACAAAC